rnacentral:rRNA from 1 species
UACAGAGGUCUCAAGCGUUGUUCGGAUUCAUUGGGCGUAAAGGGUGUGUAGGUGGCGCGCUAAGUCGGGUGUGAAAUUUCGGAGCUUAACUCCGAAACUGCAUUCGAUACUGGCGUGCUUGAGGACUGGAGAGGAGACUGGAAUUCAUGGUGUAGCAGUGAAAUGCGUAGAGAUCAUGAGGAAGACCAGUGGCGAAGGCGGGUCUCUGGACAGUUCCUGACACUGAGACACGAAAGCCAGGGGAGCGAACGGG